GAACGACUCUCGGCAACGGAUAUCUCGGCUCUCGCAUCGAUGAAGAACGUAGCGAAAUGCGAUACUUGGUGUGAAUUGCAGAAUCCCGUGAACCAUCGAGUUUUUGAACGCAAGUUGCGCCCGAAGCCGUCAGGCCGAGGGCACGCCUGCCUGGGCGUCAC
rnacentral:rRNA from 1 species